rnacentral:RNase_P_RNA from 1 species
GCAGCAGGCCGCCUUAUCGUCGUCCCGAUUUUAAUCGGGAGGGAGGAAAGUCCGGGCACCACAGGGAGGCAUAGCGGCUAACAGCCGUCACUAUUCUUGCGCGAGUAAGAAUUUUAGGACAAGUGCAACAGAAAGUAUGUACAGGUAAUGCUGUAGUGAAACCAGGUAAACUCUAUGCGGUGAAAUGUCACGUAAACCUGCGUUCCGUUUUCGGAUAAGGGUACCCGCCCGAUGCAGGAGGGUAGACAGAUUGAGCGUUUCGGUAACGAAACGUCUAGAUAAAUGAUAAGGUGCUAUUUUGAUUUAAUCGAAGUAGUAACAGAACCCGGCUUAUAGGCCUGCUUUUUUA